rnacentral:lncRNA from 1 species
CAAUUCGAACCAGGUAAAAUUCGAACAGCAUAUGUAAUUCAAGUGGUUUUGGGUAUUGAAAUUCAAUAUCCAGACAUUUCUGGAUGGGUCCGAAUAUGGCACCAAAAACUUGAAACCCAGAUCCGUACCUGUAUAUAUAUCCUUAAACAAACACAAGGUCGCGCCUCCAACUCUCCAACACUCCAAGCCAACAGCCACCACCUACCGCUGCACCACUCCUCCAUGAACCUCCACGCCUAGGCAUCAUCCAUUUUCACUUCUCAGUUGUUAGCCCUUGGCGCGUGGCUUCUUUCCAUCUCCACUCUCCAGUGUCACUGUCACAACUCAUAAAGCACAACCUAUAGCCAUGUUCGCACAGCCACAGUCUCCAUCGUCGCCUUCUUAGCCAUCAUCGCUCCACCAUCACAGCCACGAGGUAUUGAUUUUUGACUUCUCAAUUUUCUCUUUUAAAAAAAAAUGAUGAAACUCUUAUUAUUAUUAUUAUUAUUAAUGUUGGAUGUAAUUUGGAGAUUAUUGUGUUGAUGAGUUGAACUUAUGUCGGAUAUUAUUUGCUAAUUACUGUGCUGCUGAAAUUAAAUAUUUGAUAAAUAAUUGAAUGAGUUUAUAUUGAAGAUUAAAUUAAUUAAGUAGGUUAGAAAUUUAAAUUUUGGCACUGUUACAUUUUUUUUUCAGUUCAUAUCUACGCAAGGGAAAUCCAAAUAAAAACCCAUGUUUGGGAGUUUUCGGGCUUGACCCGGCCAGGAUGUGAAAAAACUAGGCACGAAAUCGGGUCUAGAUAGCAAUUAUAUCGAUUCGGGGCCGAUGCCUGGUAAGUCUAAACUCCACCUGGACCCGAGGUUUUGCCAACCCUAAUAUUUGUAAUGAAACAUUCAAGUUAACCGGCGCCAAAAGCUUGAACUUGAAAAAUCCAUGGUGUGUGGUAGUGAAUCACAUAUCAAUGGAUUUCUUUUGUUCCUUUCUUUUGUUAUUUAUUAAUUGACGUGAGACGGUCCAGAAUAAUUGUAAGGUAGAUUUUUGAGUUACCACUUAAUUAGUAGAUUUUUAGGAUGCUUUACAAAUAUGUGUAUCUAGAAUUAUCCUAAAUUUCAUAUCCUAAUUUAUAUAUAGAAAUUUCAUAUCCUAAUUUUUAUGUAGACGUAACAAUUCAAAAUAAAAGUUAACAUGUAAAAAAAUUAAAUUAACAAUUCAAAAUAAAAGUUAACAUGUAAAAAAAAUUAAAUUUCUAAGAAAAUAUGAUUUUUUUUUCCAUUUUUAUUAUGGUUUGUUAGUAAUUGAUUAUGUCUCAAGAAAGGGUUGGGCAAAAUAUCCGAUUCAAUUUAACCCGACCGGAUUUGAUCUGAAAAAUAUCGGGUUUGGAUCGGAUCGGCUUCUUAACAAAAUUUGAUCGGAUGCAUUUUUGCCAACCUAAUCGGAUCACAAACCGAUCUGGUUGGCUUUAAAAUUUAAAAAAAAAUGAAUGAAAUUGAAAACUAAACCUAUAGACAUGCACAACCUCCCUCUCCCUCAAGCCUCAACUUAGAAUUAUAAAUACACGUGCAUCAUAAACAAUUAACACAAAACCAUAAAAAAAAAACAAACAAAUCUUGGUCCACACACAUCACAAACAAUUCACACAAAACACAAUCAUAAACAAUUCACACAAAACACAAUCAGGUCAACACAUCAUGAUCCACAAUCCACUCACCCUCUCUCACUCUCUUAUUCUCUACUCUUCACUCUUCACUCUUCACGCUUGUUGAUCGUUCGUUGUUGCUCACAGUUGGGUUUCUCAUACACAUCACAAAUCGACACACGGACGCAACAUGUCUAUCGAUUCGACACAACAUAGCCACCACUGACCAUCAUUUCCAAUCCGACAUGUAGAUCAUCAUUUGCAGAUGCAGACACCAGAUAUGCUGCUAUCAAAUCUACCGCUACAACACUCUCUACCAUCACCAAGUUCCUUCAAGCUCUACUCUAACUCGAAUUCUCCAACCCACCGAAUUUGUGUGUUUUGAAAUUUUGAUGUUGUAUAGUAAUUUUAAUGUAAAUUGCAAUUGCUGAAUGUUACGUUCAGAGUCCGCCUAAUCUUUUGCACGACCUAGAUGACCACAUAUUCCUAUUGGACGUUAUGCGGGACCACUCAUAGAAAGAUUUCCAAGGAAACGACGAAAGCCAUACAAGCGGAGGCUUGAUUAAGACGGGACUCGGGGGAGUUGUGUUCUUUAACACAGGACAACCAUGUUCAUAAAAUUAUCUGGCUUGUUGGGUGACCUUGGGUUUACAUUAUAGAUGACUGUUGAGGACAUUGGGAAUAAAUUUUUCACCGACUCGAAUUGACCCUAUUGACCCAAACUUAGGAAUAAGAUUCCUUAGGAAUAAAAUGUGUUGUGAAUAGUAAAAUAAGAUUUCUUAGGAAUAAGAUGUACUGAGUCAUGUAAUAUAAAGUAGUGGUGAGUCAUAAAGUAAUAUCCCUUAAAGAUAAGAUGUAAUAAUAAAAGAAAAUUCCCUUAGUGCCUAUAAAAGGGGACUCCCAAUAUGUGUAUGGAUCAUCGGGUCUUGUAAUCUACCUAGUCUUGUAUUCUCUUUUCUCUUGUAAGAAAAUCUUUCUUAAUAGUAUUUUCUAAUAAAAUUCGCG